rnacentral:tRNA from 1 species
CAAAGAAUAGUUUAAAAAAAAAUUAGGGCUUUGGAAGCUCUAGAUAGGGAGUCUUUUCUUUGA